CCUACGGGGCGCAGCAGUGGGGGAUAUUGCACAAUGGGGGAAACCCUGAUGCAGCGACGCCGCGUGGGUGAAGAAGCGCCUCGGCGCGUAAAGCCCUGUCAGCAGGGAAGAAAAUGACGGUACCUGAAGAAGAAGCCCCGGCUAACUACGUGCCAGCAGCCGCGGUAAUACGUAGGGGGCAAGCGUUAUCCGGAUUUACUGGGUGUAAAGGGGGCGCAGACGGCGAUGCAAGCCAGGAGUGAAAGCCCGGGGCCCAACCCCGGGACUGCUCUUGGAACUGCGUGGCUAGAGUGCAGGAGGGGCAGGCGGAAGUCCUGGUGUAGCGGUGAAAUGCGUAGAUAUCAGGAGGAACACCGGUGGCGAAGGCGGCCUGCUGGACUGCAACUGACGUUGAGGCCCGAAAGCGUGGGGAGCAAACAGGAUUAGAUACCCCAGUAGUC
rnacentral:rRNA from 1 species